GGCAAAGUCAGCUAAUAAAGCUUUCGGGCCCAUACCCCGAACAUGACGGUUAAAGUCCAUCCUAUGCUA
rnacentral:tRNA from 2 species